GGACCAGGCCCCUCUGCCUAGAAUGCUGACAUAGUGCUUUCUUUAGAACAACUGGUUUGGUUACAGGGAAAGCAAUGCACAAAACUUAAGAGGAGGCAAAGAGGUCAUCUGGAAGAAGAAGGCUGGUUGGGGAGUUCAAACUCUGGAGCUCAACCUCUGUCAUGCUACUGGAUUAUUGCAGAAACAGGAUCCAAAUAGAACACUGUCAUUUUGUGAAAAGAACUACAAAGAUGCAUAUAUGCCUAUAAAUGGAAGAUGAAGUGGUGACUGAAGGUUUCCUCCUGCCAAGGAAAACAAGUGCAAGGCAGCUGGAAGAGAGGAGCC
rnacentral:lncRNA from 1 species